rnacentral:rRNA from 1 species
GAAAGUAAGCAAGGGCAGACGGUGGAUGCCUUGGCUCUCGGAGGCGACGAAGGACGUGAUAAGCUGCGAAAAGCCCGGGGGAGGCGCAAAUAGCCCUUGAUCCCGGGAUAUCCGAAUGGGGCAACCCGGCAGGCUGAAGGCCUGUCAUCCCGUAAGGGAGGCGAACGUGGGGAACUGAAACAUCUAAGUACCCAUAGGAGGAGAAAAUAAACAAUGAUUCCGUAAGUAGUGGCGAGCGAACACGGAAGAGCCCAAACCCAUGUCGUCUAGGCGACACGGGGGUUGUAGGACCACGACGUGGCAAGAUAGAGUCAAGUGGAACGCCUUGGAAAAGGCGGUCAUAGAGGGUGAAAACCCCGUACACGACUGACGAUUGAAGCCUAGUGGCAUCCUGAGUAGCGCGGGGCACGAGAAAUCUUGCGUGAAACAGCGGGGCCCAUCCCGUAAGGCUAAAUACUCCCGAGAGACCGAUAGCGAACCAGUACCGUGAGGGAAAGGUGAAAAGAACCCCGAGCAGGGGAGUGAAAUAGACCCUGAACCCGUCUGCCUACAAGCGGUCGGAGCAUAGCAAUAUGUGACGGCGUGCCUUUUGCAUAAUGAACCUACGAGUUACCUUCCCCGGCAAGGUUAAGUACCUAAGGUACGGAGCCGAAGCGAAAGCGAGUCUGAAGAGGGCGGCCAGUCGGGGGGGGUAGACGCGAAACCGAGUGAUCUACCCUUGGCCAGGUUGAAGGUUGGGUAACACCAACUGGAGGACCGGAUGGGUAAGCGUUGAAAAGCUUUCCAAUGAGCUGAGGGUAGGGGUGAAAGGCUAAUCAAACUCGGAGAUAGCUCGUACUCCCCGAAAUGCAUUUAGGUGCAGCCUCUUUAUAGUAUAUCGUGAGGUAGAGCGACUGAUUGGAUGCGAGGGCUUCACCGCCUAUCAAGUCCAGAUAAACUCCGAAUGCGCGAUAUAUAUUUACAGGGAGUGAGGGCGCGGGUGCUAAGGUCCGUGUCCGAGAGGAGAAGAAUCCAGACCACCGGCUAAGGCCCCCAAAUGAUCGUUGAGUUGAACUAACGAGGUCGGAUCGCAGAGACAGCUAGGAUGUUGGCUUGGAAGCAGCCAUUCAUUUAAAGAGUGCGUAACAGCUCACUAGUCGAGCGAUCUGGCGUGGAUAAUAAUCGGGCAUAAACGAUCUGCCGAAGCCGUGGAUGUCGUAAGACAUGGUAGGGGAGCAUUCCAUGCGGCGUCGAAGAUGAGGGAUGACCCUUGUUGGAGCGCAUGGAAAAGCAAAUGUAGGUAUGAGUAACGAUAAGGGGGGCGAGAAACCCCCCCGCCGAAAGACCAAGGUUUCCUGAUCAACGCUAAUCGGAUCAGGGUGAGUCGGGACCUAAGGCAAAGCCGAACGGCGCCGCCGAUGGAAGAAUGGGUUAAUAUUCCCAUACUGCCUCAUGGAGUGACGUGGAGACGGAGAAGUGACAGUCCUGCCGGCUGACGGAAUAGCCGGUUGAAGGGUGUAGAUAUUGAUUCCCGUAGGCAAAUCCGCGGGGAGAGUCGAACCUGAGAGUAUACGGAGCGCUUGCGCGACGUAAUAUGGACGUAACCAUGCUCCCAAGAAAAUCCGCUAAACUUAUCCAUGCGGCACCCGUACCGUAAACGGACACACGUGGUCGGGUUGAGAAUACUGAGGCGCUCGAGUGACUCACGGUUAAGGAACUAGGCAAAUUGACCCUGUAACUUCGGGAUAAAGGGUCCUCGUCGUAAGGCGAGGCGCAGAGAAUAGGUCCAGGCAACUGUUUAACAAAAACACAUGGCUAUGCUAAAUGGAAACAUGACGUAUAUAGCCUGACACCUGCCCGGUGCUGGAAGGUUAAGAGGAGAUGUCAUCGCAAGAGAAGCGUUGAAUUGAAGCCCCAGUAAACGGCGGCCGUAACUAUAACGGUCCUAAGGUAGCGAAAUUCCUUGUCGGGUAAGUUCCGACCUGCACGA